GCAACAUCCUCCAAGGCUAAAUACUCCUGACUGACCGAUAGUGAACCAGUACCGUGAGGGAAAGGCGAAAAGAACCCCGGCGAGGGGAGUGAAAAAGAACCUGAAACCGUGUACGUACAAGCAGUGGGAGCCCCACCACUAAGCCAGUGGUGAACUCCACAUACGCAUCCUUUGCUGAGGAUACGGUUAACGGAGCGAAAGCGACGUUCAACCGCAAAA
rnacentral:rRNA from 1 species